rnacentral:rRNA from 1 species
UACGUAGGGACCAAGCGUUGUUCGGAUUUACUGGGCGUAAAGGGCGCGUAGGCGGCAAUUCAAGUCAUCUGUGAACUCUCCGGGCUUAACUCGGAAUGGUCAGGUGAUACUGCUUUGCUAGAGUGCAGAAGGGGCAAUCGGAAUUCUUGGUGUAGCGGUGAAAUGCGUAGAUAUCAAGAGGAACACCUGAGGUGAAGACGGGUUGCUGGGCUGACACUGACGCUGAGGCGCGAAAGCUAGGGGAGCAAACGGG